ACGACGAGCUGCGCUUGUUGUUGCAGUAGUUGCUGCUGCUGCGACUGCUGUACCGGCGGUUGCUGCUGCUGCUGCUGCUGCUGUUGUUGU